CAUCGAUGUCUACGGAGAGAGUAAGAUGAAUAGGAUUCGAACGCUAACAAUCUUCGAAAUGACAACCACUUCCUCGUCGACGACAGCAUAAUUCACCUUAUAGUAUGAAGUCAGAUCGUUCUUCUUCUUCUUCUUCUUGGAAAAGAGUAGAGACACUGACCG